ACUCCUGCGGGAGGCAGCAGUGGGGAAUAUUGCACAAUGGGCGCAAGCCUGAUGCAGCCAUGCCGCGUGUAUGAAGAAGGCCUUCGGGUUGUAAAGUACUUUCAGCGGGGAGGAAGGCGAUAAGGUUAAUAACCUUGUCGAUUGACGUUACCCGCAGAAGAAGCACCGGCUAACUCCGUGCCAGCAGCCGCGGUAAUACGGAGGGUGCAAGCGUUAAUCGGAAUUACUGGGCGUAAAGCGCACGCAGGCGGUCUGUCAAGUCGGAUGUGAAAUCCCCGGGCUCAACCUGGGAACUGCAUUCGAAACUGGCAGGCUAGAGUCUUGUAGAGGGGGGUAGAAUUCCAGGUGUAGCGGUGAAAUGCGUAGAGAUCUGGAGGAAUACCGGUGGCGAAGGCGGCCCCCUGGACAAAGACUGACGCUCAGGUGCGAAAGCGUGGGGAGCAAACAGGAUUAGAAACCCCUGUAGUCCCAUG
rnacentral:rRNA from 1 species